rnacentral:lncRNA from 7 species
CUCAGUUCUGCCAGACUCACCCAGACAAGUCUCUCACAGAAGUAAGACAGAAAACAACAGCCAAUUGUGUCUGGGCCUUAUGCAGGAAGUUCUCCAUAUGAACUGGUGCAGGUACAGAGGAAUGGAAAUAAGCAUGUCUGGAUGUGGAGAGGAAGAGGUGGGGAGGAACAUGCUGUAUAAAAACUACAAAACAGUUCAGUACAUAAAGAAAUCUCGUCUGUGACCUAUAUGGCAGCUCUGCACUUCUUAACUAGCUUUCAGCAGUGCAAAACCAAACAAGAAUGUGUGAGGCCAUGAGAAGAUAAGCAUUAUACAGCUAUGAAGAAACACUGAGAAAAAGCAGCAGCAGUAUUCAUACGGUCUGCAUAAGACCUGAGAUUUGCUCCUGAACCCUCAAAUUAGCAGUGACUGCAAUUCCCAUAUGAAGAGCAAGGACUUCUUGAUUUUAGCUCCAAUGGACGAGGACAAGGAGGAAGGGAAGAGAGUGCCUAUCAGGUCACUCCAUUUCAUCCCAACUAGGAAAUUUCAGGAUGCGUGGGAAACAUCCCAGUGACUUCCCAUUCAGACACAGCCUGCCUCAGUGCCCCACAGCAAGACUUUUGGUCUUUUGCUCAGUUUGUUAGACAUUUCAGAGAUUUCAUCAGAAAGGAGGUAAAAGAUGAUUCGGUAAAGAUAAACAGUGUAAUAACAAGUAUAUGCAUGUCAACUGGUUGUUUUGCAGUUACUUUUAUGCAGGUGAAAAGCACCUCGUCAAAAUGAAGCCAACACAAGAAAAUUCUACUUGUACAAUACAGAAAAUUCUGCUUGAAAUACAAAAUGCAUAAUUUGAAAAUAUAACAUUCUUAUCUUGAAUAUGACUAAAAAUUGGAAAUUACUAUAGCCACUUCUAAAAAUGUUACACAAUUUUUACAGAAAAUCCCUGAAAUUUUGCAGUCUCAGGUUGACAUUGACUGCCUUGUGAAAUAUGACUGACUGAAGUAUAAACAUCUUGACAUUUUGUGGAUUUACAACUCCCAUAAGUUCUUCAGUCUCAAUCACACUUCUUACUACAUUUUCAUAAGUUAAUGAUGUUAUCACAUAGGCAGACAUAAUGUCAACUUUUGUCAAUUAUAAUAAAAUUGUGAGCACUGAGAUCAGUCUUUCCCACUGGUUAAAAAUCUGUCAGUUUUCAAAGCUGUGUAACUGUUAACAUUAACCUAUCAUUAUGCUAGCACUGACUAUUAAAAUACAAAGCUGUACUACAAAAAGUAGCUUUUCAAAAGUCUAUUGCUAAUCCCAUGAUCUUAUCACAAAAAAUGCUGCUUCUCCUACAGACAUCUAGACAACCACUAUAGGCAUAUAUACUACAUAUCCUGCAUCAGUGUAUCAAAAAUGUGGCCAUAUGGCCAGUCUGGCAAGGGUGGUAAAGUUAUGUUCAAGUUCAGAUAAAGAACACGAGAAGGAAGCAGUAUUUCACAUUCAAGCUCUAGGUCUAGGAUUUGUGAGCGUGCAAAUAGGAGUAUAUGCUAGAAGAGCAGUUGUUGCCUCUGCAGGUCUGUUAAGUACGUACUUGUACGAACACCCAUGCUUGGAAUAUAAUCCUGUGUUCAGAAAGUAUAUGGUGCAGAAGAACUACCAUGCUUAGAGAUUUUAGCCAUUUAACCUUGUGCCUCAUAUACAGCAGAGAAUGCUUUCAGGAGUGUCAUAACAUGUUCCUCCCCAGCUUACUUUCCACAAGUUUAGCAAGACUAGUUAAUAAAACUGGAUCUAUAAUUAAGUUUGUAUUUUAAAAUUGUUUCAUGAUAGUGAUUCACAACUUUUAGAGGAAGUGUGAUAUUGUCUAAAAAUUAAAAAUGGCACUUCAAAUACUUUUCACUACUGAUAUUGCUGAUUAACAUACUGGUAUUUUAACUAGUAGACUAAAAAUUUGUAAUUACGUUUGAAAUUUCCUUGACUUCAAACAAACAACAACAACAAAAAAAAAAGAACAGCAAAUAUGGAAAAAAAAUUACUUAUGUAAACAGUUCUUUUGCCAACUGAACUAGAGGCAUGUUAUUUUUACCACUCAGCUAGCUAAAUUAUAUAUGUUCUUAUAUUGCUACACUGUUCACUUGUUACACACUUUAAACUUCAAUUAUUUAAUUGGUUAAUAUUAUACUUUAAUUUUUCUGUUAUGUGUAGCAUUUCAGUCAUCAUUCAUGUAAGUAUUUGUGAAAAUACAAGCAGGUAUCAAUAAGGAAACCUUAUUAUCUAGUGUGUUAAUAUUUUAAAACAAAACUCUUGCAUAUGCUGUAGUUGUUACUUCAUUAACAUGAUCUUUGUGAGAAAACAAAGCUAUUAUGUUUGAAGAUUCAAGCAUCUUUCUGUUGCAGAAAUAUCUAUUGCAUGGAUUUCUUUGUGUUUGAGAAGUCAGACAUGUUAUUUAUUGGAUGGUUUAGUCUUAUUUUUAUUUUGAUCUCUAGAACAUAAUAAUGAAUAAAUGAUGGAC